AGGGCCAUAGCCAAGCGGUAAGGCAAAGGACUUUGACUCCUUCAUCGUAGGUUCGAAUCCUGCUGGCCCUGCCA
rnacentral:tRNA from 1 species